GCGGGUAUAGUUCAGUGGUAGAACGAUAGCCUUCCAAGCUAUAUACACGGGUUCGAAUCCCGUUACCCGCU
rnacentral:tRNA from 1 species